CUACGUGCCAGCAGCCGCGGUAAUACGUAGGUCCCGAGCGUUGUCCGGAUUUAUUGGGCGUAAAGCGAGCGCAGGCGGUUUGAUAAGUCUGAAGUUAAAGGCUGUGGCUCAACCAUAGUUCGCUUUGGAAACUGUCAAACUUGAGUGCAGAAGGGGAGAGUGGAGUUCCAUGUGUAGCGGUGAAAUGCGUAGAUAUAUGGAGGAACACCGGUGGCGAAAGCGGCUCUCUGGUCUGUAACUGACGCUGAGGCUCGAAAGCGUGGGGAGCGAACAGGAUUAGAUACCCUGGUAGUCCAUGCCGUAAACGUUGGGCACUAGGUGUGGGGGACAUUCCACGUUUUCCGCGCCGUAGCUAACGCAUUAAGUGCCCCGCCUGGGGAGUACGGCCGCAAGGCUAAAACUCAAAGAAAUUGACGGGGGCCCGCACAAGCGGCGGAGCAUGCGGAUUAAUUCGAUGCAACGCGAAGAACCUUACCAAGGCUUGACAU
rnacentral:rRNA from 1 species